GGUUUGCGCAUCUUUGCUGCCCUCACUCUAUUCACCUGUAGGAGAGUAGGGAAAAGGGCAUUAGGAGAUAGGUCUAUUAUUGAUUCCUUUAAUGCAAGACACUUCUUGACCUCGUUAAAACCAACAGAGUAUAUUGCUUUUUGCCAUUCUGCAUAAACAAUAUACAGAAAUUACAAAUACAUAUAUGAAAACACAUUGCUGUCCAUUAGAUAAAAACUAGUGUUAGGAGAUAGGGCUAUUGCUCUACGUUUAGUAGCAAUAGCAUCUGCAACAAGCCGACUACUAUGAGUACAACUGCAACUACAUGAACAAAACGCUGACAAUUUACAGUGCAACUACACCCGUUGUGCCACAAAUGCUCAACAACAUUCUAGUGAUUGCGAGGGAACGGUCCAUUCUAGUGAUCAUUUGAAGAUCCCAGUGCCUAUUUAUGUAUGAUAUCCUGAAUCUAUUUCACGAAAUAUACAAGCACAUACGUUAUAUUUCACAAGUCUGAAUAUGUCAAGAUCUAGCUUGUUUCAACAGGAGUAUAUUUCCCAAGUCUGAAAGCUGCCAAAUCACAUUAUGUUAGAAGCUCACAAAUACAAGUGACCUUCACCGUCAGGAUUAACUAUUUCAUACCACAGAAAUCUUCCAGAUAUGAAUAGUCCGAUCCUCCAGGAGCUCAAGAAUAUACUAUCCUCUCUUUUGAACAAUCCCCUGAAGAAGAAAUGGCAACAUUAAUAGGAAAUGAAUAGAGGUGACUAGAAAUGAAUAGUAGACUCAUUAUUGUUGUCCAAUUUUUUUUAAUAAUUGAUUUAAUAUAUGUGUCCAAGAAAUGCACUGCAGUGGUGCCAUUUUUUGUAUUUGAAUACGCAGGAGAUCUGCAUAUCAUUGCAUUAAGAAGAAGAAAUAUAGAUAGAGUUAUCAAUAGCUACCAAGAUUUAAGUUAUCAACUACAGCCCUAACUUAACCAAGUAAGGAGGAUUAUAAACUUACAAUCAACACAUUAACGCUGCUUAUCAAUAGAAUAAUGAACCAUAAGCCUCAAAGUUCAUCUGACGCUGGUUGGAACUGGUACUAUAUUUUAGUUGAUUGACCCUUGUUACUGCCUUAUUAGUGUUUAUUGGUAAUUGGUGGGUUAUAGUUGGGCACCACACAACCCAUCUAGCAGCGGAACGACCAGCGUAGUAACACACUCCUCCCACCAGCCUCGUUCUUUCCGCUCGCUCAUCUCUCGCUUAAGCUUCCCUGUUUCCUUCCGCCGGCCCCUCCCCUCUCCUCCCCGGCCUAGCCGGUGGCGAGUAGGGCGAGGGGCCCUUCCCUUGUGUAGUCUAGGUGUAGUAGUAGCUGUUCUUGAGUCCUUAAUGGCUGUUUCUGGGUUUUUCUUGCCGGUGAGGGACAUCAGCGAGAUAUGAUUUUCUCCAUGCUCGUGGUUGCUGUCUCUGUGGUUCUUGGCGAUGGCCCUACCACGGUAAAGCCAGGUUGUCCCAGCUCCAAUAACCUUCCCCUUCCAGAUCUUGCUGAACUAGAUCCUUCUGUAUCCUUCGCUUCUUGCCAAGGGGUGAAGAUGGGUUCUAUCUUCUAUGUCAGCAGAUCUGGCUCGUUCCUUUCCUUCCAAUAAAAUCCCCUGCUUCAGAUCCAUUCUUACUUUGCCGGUUUUGCUCCCCACAAAAUCUCCAUGGCCGGCUUUCUUCUUGUGCUUGAAAUCUAGUGCUUGUACAUUAAGGUGUCAUCUGGUUCGAGCAGGAAAGUUGAGAAUCGGUGCAUGUUUUCUCGGCAUGCUCUGGCACCAGUUCUUCCGAUUUGGUGAUGUUUUCCUUUCGGGGCUGUUUGGAUAGCAGCCCCAAGCUGCCCUUCCAAAAUUUUGGUCGUUGACCACAGGUUCGGCAGCGUUUGGAUCGCAGCCAAGUUUUUGGCUCACAGCCAACUUUUUGGCCAGACGUUGUGAUUCUGCACUAGCGCGUGGGCGAGUUCCCGGUGGCUAUUUCCUUCGCCAAAAUUUUGGCACACCGUCGUUUUGGUCGGGCUGGUGUGGGCAUAAUCCAAACGGCCCCUUACAUCUCCAUGCACCAAAUCAAGGCUGUCCUUUACUGGAACCAUUUGCGGUCCCUUCUGCCCUAUCCAGGGGCUAUCUGUUGGUUUCUGGAGCAUGUGCUUCAUCCUAUUUCAUGCCAUCGGCAUAUCCCUUUGCUUCAUCCUUGCCACGGUGGUAGCUGCCUAACCCGCAAGCCAAGAGGGGCCGUUAGAGUGCGUCACAGGCCACUUGCGGUGUUGCCGCCUUGCUGGUGGCAACCGGAGCACCGACCUGUUGUGGCCAGGCCUGCUCCGGUCAGCAGCGGUGACAUGGAAGCCGCUCCGAAGCUCGAAGCCACUCCUGUGCUUCAGACUGACACACGGACUGUCCAUGGGCGGUGGGUGGUGUACGUGUCCCUUCUGGGCCGAAUUGUAAUAUUUAUUUCCAGGUUGCUUCUGAAAUCUGGGACUUCUAUGUUCCUAUACUAUGAUCUGUUUUAAUAUAUGCAGGGGGGGUCCUUUGGGGGCUUACGUUUGUCAGAAAAAAGAUAAUUGCUGGGUUAGUGAGUCAUUAGCAAUAACUGGCAAUUAUUCAAGUCUUAGAAGGAUUUUUUUUUCAGAUUAUGGAACUUUAAGCUGUAGUGGAGCUGCAAGAGAACGUCGAGGACAGGCAAAUUGGACUGCUACUACUUCAGGUACUUUCUCUUCCAGAUCAGCUUGCAAAUCCUUCUUUGAGGGCAGCACCAAGUUUGACCCAAGCCGACACUGGAAAUCUUGGGCUCCUACUAGUGAAGGAAGCACUUCGUUUGGUUGGUUUGCCACAACCGCUGCUGGACUGCUAAUUUCCUUGCACACCGAGGCCUGACUCACCCCUCAAAAUGUCCCCUCUGAUCAGGUGGAGAAAAUUAUUAUUCAUCUGUUGGCUGACUGUGUCUUCACCAAACAGGUUUGGUUGGAGACCCUUCGAUCUGUUGGCCUAGUGCAAUCAGUUCUAGUGAGUCAACACCAUCUAUCCUUCCAAAUUUGGUGGUCUGAAGCAUCACUAUUGAUUGAUUUUCGGCAGCACAAGGGGUUCCACUCCUUGCUCAUGGUGGUUGCAUGGCUCAUUUGGAAACAUCGUAAUGAGUGCGUUUACAAGGGGAGAACUCCUACUGUCUCUCUUCUUGCUCAAGGAAUUCGAGAGGAGGCUGUUCUUUGGUGAUCCGCUAGGGCCAUGGAGUUGGAGUCCCUCUGGUCAUGAGUGCUCUUGGUCUUGUUAAAUUGGGGUCUCAAAAUGUUAAAUUACACUUCUAAACAUGUAUCAGACAAUUCAUUGGGUCUUAGCAUGUACUCCCUCCGUCCGGACAUACUUGUCCGAGGAAUGGAUGUAUCUACAUGUAUUUUAGCUUUAGAUGCAUCCAUUUGUAUCCAUUUUCGCGACAAGUAUUUUCGGACGGAGGGAGUAGACCCAAAAGGUUGAGUUAUCAUUCCUAAACAGGCAAUCUAGGACUAUGGCUAUGUUGGACAAUCCAUGCAUAUUUGUAUACGUAUGUGUCUCCUGAGCCACAUUUGGGCUCAACACUCAACUUGGCCUGGAUGAUGAGUUGAGAGCUCUGAAAUCCCACUAGGUCAACAGUUUUGGAUGCUCUCCAUUUUAUCCACAGCAGCUGGUUAACUUCUAGCCUUAAUUUUGCAUUUUCUCUAUACUUCCUCAAUUGUAUUGUAUAUAUAUUCUCAGCACUGGGUCAUAAGUCGCAACCAGAUGAGAAAUGCAAAUGUUACAGAAAAAACACAAUGAUAAUAUUGGCAUACAGUUCUCUAUUUGCCUGUCAAGAAAUGUAACAUACUAUUUCCCUUUAAACAAGGGUUCUACGUUGUGCUCAUUGUUUAUAUCCUAUAAGCAGAGAAUUCCCAAAAUCAUUUCAUGUCUACUAUAUAGAGUACAAGGCAAAAGGACGGCAUUGCACAGUAGAGGAAAAUUCUUUUCCCAAACUUCUGGUGAUAUCAUGAGCAGCAUGUUUCAAGGCAUGAAAUGUGAGAAAUUCAGUAUAUGGUCUUAAAUUAAAAUCUAUAAACUCAACAAAGCAGCAAUAAAGUCAUUGGUCAUGAUCUAGAAACUUAAACAAGCAGCGGCGACAGUAGCAAUCUUUUGGAAAAGAAAGGAACACAUAAUUGCAGGUUGCAGCAGCACAAAAUGCAACAUGAGUCAAUACAAAAUAGUAAAGUUAAAGAAUAGAACUAAUGAUAUCUUUAACAUAAUUCAAUAUUUCAAAAGUAGUAUAGAUUCCUAACAUAGUAACAUUAUCAUUGAUGUAUGCAUGAUGAGCUCGUCAUUAUCACGAAGAUCCUCACACAUUACUUAAUCACAGACCAAGCAUAGUCACUAACUAAAAUAUUUUAUUCCUUGUUUCAUCUAUAAAUAACUACUAGAAGAGGAUCAUAGGGUGCAUACCUCACCAAAAUCUAACUCAUCCCCCUUAAGAAGUCGCUAAAAUCUACAAACCCCGAGGGAAGUAUACUGAUGUCCAGCACAACCCUCUCUUCAUCCCUUCAGGAAUUCAUCCCUGACAGUUUGUUCCCUGCAUGUUUUCCCUAACUUAUUUGCCAGCACGAGAAGACCGCUUGGAUACCUGAUUUAGCAAAUAUGAAGUAUCAUAACUUCUUUGGCACAAUGUUCAAGUAGCACAGCAUAAUAAUAGUAUGGUUUCCUAGUAUCACUUUCAAGAAUUAAUAUUGGAAAAUAUGUUAAG
rnacentral:lncRNA from 1 species